UAGCAGCACAUCAUGGUUUGUAAGUUAUAAGGGCAAAUUCCGAAUCAUGAUGUGCUGUCACU
rnacentral:pre_miRNA from 2 species